GAUGAACGCUGGCGGCGUGCCUAAUACAUGCAAGUCGAGCGAACAGACGAGGAGCUUGCUCCUCUGACGUUAGCGGCGGAUGGGUGAGUAACACGUGGAUAACCUACCUAUAAGACUGGGAUAACUUCGGGAAACCGGAGCUAAUACCGGAUAAUAUAUUGAACCGCAUGGUUCAAUAGUGAAAGACGGUUUUGCUGUCACUUAUAGAUGGAUCCGCGCCGCAUUAGCUAGUUGGUAAGGUAACGGCUUACCAAGGCAACGAUGCGUAGCCGACCUGAGAGGGUGAUCGGCCACACUGGAACUGAGACACGGUCCAGACUCCUACGGGAGGCAGCAGUAGGGAAUCUUCCGCAAUGGGCGAAAGCUUGACGGAGCAACGCCGCGUGAUUGAUGAAGGUCUUCGGAUCGUAAAACUCUGUUAUUAGGGAAGAACAAAUGUGUAAGUAACUAUGCACGUCUUGACGGUACCUAAUCAGAAAGCCACGGCUAACUACGUG
rnacentral:rRNA from 1 species